AGCUGGAUAGCUGCUUGGCUAACAUUUUAAAUGGAAGGUGAGAGGAAAGUCCGGGCUUCACAGGAUCAGGAUGCUGGAUAACUUCCAGCGAGGGCGACCUUAGGGAAAGUGCCGCAGAAAUUAAACCGCCUUAGCUGAAAAGAUAGGGUAAGGGUGAAAUGGUGCGGUAAGAGCGCACCGCAGUUUUGGUAACAAAACUGGUCAGGGUAAACCCCAUCCGAAGCAAGAUCAUAUAGGGACAUACGCGUCUAGACGCACUGGCGGUCCUGCCAGAUUGUCCGGGUAGAUCGCUAAAACCUAUUGGUAACAAUACGGUUCAGAUGAAUAGCUAUCAAUGAAGAUUUCUUCUAACAGAACCCGGCUUAUAGGCUCUCUG
rnacentral:RNase_P_RNA from 1 species